AUCCAUUCCUGCAUGACUUUACUCGUAAUCAUUGUUAUUCCAGACUACUCAAAGGAAUCCCUGGGUAGUGAAGAAGAAAGUGGGAAAGACUGGGAUGAACUGGAAGAAGAAGCCCGAAAAGCUGACCGUGAAAGUCGCUAUGAGGAAGAAGAGGAACAGAGUCGAAGUAUGAGCCGGAAGCGGAAGGCGUCUGUGCACAGUUCAGGCCGAGGCUCCAACCGGGGUUCUAGACACAGCUCUGCACCUCCCAAGAAAAAGAGGAAGUAACCCCUGGACUUUAGCUCUGAGCUCCACUCUUCCUCCAGCCAACUCCAGAAAAUUUUACAUGACAUAGAAACUGGGCUUUUUCCUUUCAUUUUCUUUGAAGUUUUGCCAUUUGUGUUUAUGGGUUUAGGGGGCCAUUUGUGUGGACCAAUCUACUCGGGGAAUCCAGGACCACCAGGACAUGCGUCAAUGGCCCCGUUCAGAUGGCAGGGGAGGAAGUGCUCUUGAAGAAGGGUGGAGGCUCCCACUGUUAAUAAACACCAUUCAUUCCGCUCUUCUGUCAUCUUCUGCCAGGACAGCGAUGGCUGCCGACAUCUCUGAUGCCUCAAAGCUGUAUUUCCAGGACAGUGGUACAAGGUGACCUUAGUCACCUGUCCUGUGGUUCUUGACCAGCAGAUUCAGUCCUCAUCUUACCCUACAGCCGGGACCUUCCUCCCGUGUCCUAUGUUCCAUCUUUGCAAUAUUCAAGCAAAGGUUCCUAGGAGUUGCUAAUGAUCACGUGACCCAUAUGGUCUGAGCUUAUGAGGCAGAUUGGGCUGGUGCCUUCAUCUGAGGUUUCCUGGUUACUGGCUCAUGCAGAUUCCGAGGUAUUUCUGCCACCUUAGAAACAUAUGAAGCAGUGACACUCCCUGCCUCGGCACUUUCUUAAAAAUUACACAUGAUACAGUGAUAGAAGGCAAAAUGACCAAUUUCUCUUUUCUGAUAUAUCAAAGGAAAAAUGGUUUGUGUGCCUCAUUCACUACUUUAGGUGAAAUCUAGAGGGAGGCUGGGGCAGUCAAGAUUUCAAUCUGGGGCAGAUCGUGCCUUGGGCCUAGCAUUGCCUGAGGAGAGAAGAAAGGGACGGGAGGCCGUAUCCACCACACAGCCUCUGCCCUGCUGCCCCAUUUUAUUUACCCUGCCAGUGUCCUGUAUUUAUCACUUUCUGUUUACCGGCUUUUUAGGUGCAGGGAGUUUUCCUUGCCCUCCUCCCUCCUGGUUCUCUGCGCCCGCCCACCCCCUGCACUUCCUUCCGUGUCCAUGGCUUCAGAGAAAGGGGGGAGGGUGCUCAGAUUUUAUGUUUGUUUGUUUUUUUCUCCUUAGCUGUAGGACUUGAUAUUUUCAAUUUUGGAAAAACUAAAAGAUAAAUAAACUGUGGGGUUUUUGUUAGCUUUGUUUUUGUAAACUUGCCUUUUGUAACCAUUCCUUUGCAGUCCGUGAAAUGAACCCUGCUUCUCACCUGGUAAAACACCAAAAUGUUCAAAGAAAAUGCCUUUGUCCAAUUAGUACCAUUCUAGACUUCAUUCUUAGGCUGAGAAGUGUGGAUAUUCCAGCAAACACACCUAGUGUAUGGCAGGUUACUUCACACAGGACUUCACUGUGGUUCCCUCAGACUGCAGAGUGGAGGGCGCUGACCCUUCAGGACAGCACAUACUCCGUCAUCUCCUGGUAAAUGCUGUGGAGGGCCGCGGCUGCCUGCAGGGACACCUUCAGCCUUCCUAUUACCACAUCCUGGUCUCGGGGGCUGACAACUGUGGGAAGGAAAGAAAGGCUCAGGUGGUAGCAGUGUUCAUUUAAACACUCACACCUCUCAUUCUCGUCAUCUCAGAGUGCUGCAGGAAAGGGUGCUUCGAAGCCGGGCGCCACAGUGCCCAUCUGUAGUCCCAGCACUCGGGAACCAAGGCAGGAGGACUGAGAGUUUUGAGACCAGCCUGGCCAUUUAGUAAGACCCUGUCCCAAAAUUUUGAAGAAAGGAAAAGGAGAUGCAGCUCAGUACUAUGACCCUGGGUUUUAAUACCAGGGCAGGAGCAAGGUGUCCCUUAAAGUAGAUUCACAGUGGGGUGAUAGAGGACCGCUAAGAUACACAAGUGGCUUUGAGAAGGGGUCUUACUGCAUAGCUCAAUGUGGCCUGAGUGCAGCAGUCUGCCAAGUGCUAUGGUUACAGAUUGGGCCCCACAGCUGGCAGCAGUUGACUACGUGAUGCCGAGUCCAGAAAAGACAUAUAGCUGCAGGUAAAAUACUUCAAUCCUGUUUGCAUUUUGUCAGUUUUACAGUGAUAAUUAUGUUUUAAAGAUAAAACAGCAAUUACUAUUAGGAUGUUUUUCUUUAGAAAUAAAUGGAAAUUUCAUUACUCACUCUCUAGCUCUUGCUCUACAAUGUCUCUUCCAAAUUCCAGGAUCUGCCACAGUUCAAGAUAUGCAUAUCCUACUUCUUCGCAUUCUUUUGUGUCUUCAUCCAUAGGAUCACUUACUACCGUAAACUUUAAGCUAAAAAUAGAAAAUCCAUUUAAUUAGACACAAUCCCUUGUGCUUUAA
ensembl:lincRNA